rnacentral:rRNA from 1 species
AUCAGGUAGGACUACCCGCUGAACUUAAGCAUAUCAAUAAGCAGGA